CGUGUAGGAGGCAAAACAAGACGGAUGUGAAAGCCCCCGGCUUAACCGGGGGAGGUCGUACGUGACUGUAGAGCUAGAGUGAGUUAGAGGUAAGCGGAACUCCGGGAGUAGUGGUGAAAUGCGUAGAUAUCCGGAAGAACAUCAGAGGCGAAAGCGGCUUACUGGGACUUAACUGACACUGAGACGCGAAAGCCAGGGUAGCAAAC
rnacentral:rRNA from 1 species